rnacentral:tRNA from 1 species
UCCCUGGUGGCUCAGAUGGUAAAGAAUCUGCCUGCAAUGCAGGAGACCCGAGUUCAAUCCCUAGGUUGGGGAA